rnacentral:rRNA from 1 species
GAGUUUGAUUCUGGCUCAGAACGAACGCUGGCGGCGUGCUUAACACAUGCAAGUCGAACGUGAUCCGGAGCUUGCUCCGGUGAAAGUGGCGCACGGGUGAGUAACGCGUGGAUAACCUGCCCUGGUAUCUGGGAUAACAUCUCGAAAGGGGUGCUAAUACCGGAUAAGCCCACGGAUUCCUAGGAGUCUGUGGGAAAAGGAGGCCUCUAUUUAUAAGCUUCCGUAUCAGGAUGGGUCCGCGUACCAUUAGCUAGUUGGUGGGGUAAUGGCCUACCAAGGCGACGAUGGUUAGCUGGUCUGAGAGGAUGAUCAGCCACACUGGAACUGAGACACGGUCCAGACUCCUACGGGAGGCAGCAGUGGGGAAUUUUGCGCAAUGGGGGAAACCCUGACGCAGCAACGCCGCGUGAGUGAUGAAGGCUUUCGGGUCGUAAAGCUCUGUCAGAGGGGAAGAAAUGGGUCGUGCUAAUAUCGCGACUUCUUGACGGUACCCUCAAAGGAAGCACCGGCUAACUCCGUGCCAGCAGCCGCGGUAAUAC